ACUAGACAUUUCAUCAGAUGACUGUUAAUGUGGGUUAAUAAUGUACCAAAAUCUCAUCAAAAACUGAUAACAUGGGUUAAUACUGUACUAGACAUUUCAUCAGAUGACUGUUAAUGUGGGUUAAUAAUGUACUAGACAUUUCAU